AAACUUCAGCAAUGGAUUGU
rnacentral:rRNA from 1 species